UGCAUCAGUGAUGACCACUGGUGGCGCAUGUUAUGAGUCGUUUAAGAUGAACACAUUUCUGGACCCCUGAGGUCCAA
ensembl:snoRNA